rnacentral:rRNA from 1 species
AUACGUAGGUGACAAGCGUUAUCCGGAUUUACUGGGCGUAAAGGGCGUGUAGGCGGUCUUGCAAGUCAGAAGUGAAAUUCCUGAGCUCAACUCGGGCGCUGCUUCUGAAACUGCAGGACUUGAGUGCUGGAGGGGAUAGCGGAAUUCCUAGUGGAGCGGUAAAAUGCGCAGAUAUUAGGAGGAACACCAGUGGCGAAGGCGGCUUUCUGGACAGUAACUGACGCUGAGGCGCGAAAGCGUGGGUAGCGAACAGGAUUAGAUACCCUGGUAGUCCACGCCGUAAACGAUGGAUACUAGGUGUAGGAGGUAUCGACCCCUUCUGUGCCGGAGUUAACACAAUAAGUAUCCCACCUGGGGAGUACGGCCGCAAGGUUGAAACUCAAAUGAAUUGACGGGG